rnacentral:rRNA from 1 species
AGAGUUUGAUCAUGGCUCAGAUUGAACGCUGGCGGCAUGCCUUACACAUGCAAGUCGAACGGCAGCACGGGAGCAAUCCUGGUGGCGAGUGGCGAACGGGUGAGUAAUAUAUCGGAACGUGCCCAGUAGUGGGGGAUAGCCCGGCGAAAGCCGGAUUAAUACCGCAUACGACCUGUGGGUGAAAGCGGGGGAUCGCAAGACCUCGCGCUAUUGGAGCGGCCGAUAUCAGAUUAGCUUGUUGGUGGGGUAAAAGCCCACCAAGGCGACGAUCUGUAGCUGGUCUGAGAGGACGACCAGCCACACUGGGACUGAGGCACGGCCCAGACUCCUACGGGAGGCAGCAGUGGGGAAUUUUGGACAAUGGGCGCAAGCCUGAUCCAGCCAUGCCGCGUGUGGGAAGAAGGCCUUCGGGUUGUAAACCACUUUUGUCAGGGAAGAAACGGUCUGAUCUAAUACAUUGGGCUAAUGACGGUACCUGAAGAAUAAGCACCGGCUAACUACGUGCCAGCAGCCGCGGUAAUACGUAGGGUGCAAGCGUUAAUCGGAAUUACUGGGCGUAAAGCGUGCGCAGGCGGCUUUGCAAGACAGAUGUGAAAUCCCCGGGCUCAACCUGGGAACUGCAUUUGUGACUGCAUGGCUAGAGUACGGUAGAGGGGGAUGGAAUUCCGCGUGUAGCAGUGAAAUGCGUAGAUAUGCGGAGGAACACCGAUGGCGAAGGCAAUCCCCUGGACCUGUACUGACGCUCAUGCACGAAAGCGUGGGGAGCAAACAGGAUUAGAUACCCUGGUAGUCCACGCCCUAAACGAUGUCAACUGGUUGUUGGACGGCUUGCUGUUCAGUAACGAAGCUAACGCGUGAAGUUGACCGCCUGGGGAGUACGGCCGCAAGGUUGAAACUCAAAUGAAUUGACGG